GACCUGGCCCUGGAGACGAAGAAGGACAUCGGCGUCGGCGUCAAGCACGGCGACAAGCACUACAAAAUGACCGACAAGUUCAACGUAGACAACGUCCGGGCCUUCG
rnacentral:rRNA from 1 species